rnacentral:tRNA from 1 species
GGGGGCGUUAGCUCAGCCGGUUAGAGCAGCGGACUCAUAAUCCGUCGGUUUUGCUCGUAGCCUCCCGGCUCUUCGCCUUGUGUUUGCUGGGAUCGCGGGGCAUCCGCCGAAACUACGCGAAUGCAAAUCCCCGCGAAAUCCCCUCCA